ACUUUGUCCGACAUCGUUUUAGCAAAAGCACAUGUAACCCACAUGGAUACAAGACCCAUGUAUGUCAUUUAGAGGGAGUUUACCGAGCCCCACCACAAGGUGGCGCGUUAGCCCUGCAUUCAUGGUCACGACCACAGAGCGCGUGCUCGUCCUGAGCCACUCCCGAGACGUUGACCGUGAGUGCCACUCGUUGAGUGAGCUGACGAACCUGGGAGAGAGCUUUGUGUGUAGAGAGAGAGAGAGCGGAGCUGCUUCAGCCGUGUAAGCCUCUGUUGGACUCCGAUUGUUUUUUUUGCUAGAUCAGAUAUUGAUCAGAUUCUGAACCUUUGGUGGUUCAGUGGCGAGCCAGGCGAUUGACAGCAGACGAAGAUCGGGAUCCACUCCGAAGACCAAAGACUUCUACUCAUUUUCCUUUGAUUCAGAUAAGAACGUUCACCAUAAAACCUACCCGGGUAGUAGAACGAACACAGGGUUAAAACCCCAUCUUCUGAUAUAGAAGAAAGGACACUUUUCUUUGAACUUUAUUUUAUUUUUUUAUUUUAUUGAAAGAGCUCUAUUUUUGUUUGUUCCUAAUUCACUGCACUGCAAAAUAGGAAUUGUUGGCAAGGCAAUAAAUGAUCACUGUUCAACUUC